CUACGAAAUAAUCCGACCAUGGUCAGUGGUCAAAUAAUUCUCUAGCUCCUCCAUACUUC
rnacentral:sRNA from 1 species